rnacentral:rRNA from 1 species
UACGUAGGGUGCAAGCGUUGUCCGGAAUUAUUGGGCGUAAAGAGCUUGUAGGCGGUUUGUCGCGUCUGCUGUGAAAUUUCGGGGCUCAACCCCGAACUUGCAGUGGGUACGGGCAGACUAGAGUGUGGUAGGGGAGACUGGAAUUCCUGGUGUAGCGGUGAAAUGCGCAGAUAUCAGGAGGAACACCGAUGGCGAAGGCAGGUCUCUGGGCCAUAACUGACGCUCAUGCACGAAAGCGUGGGGAGCAAACAGG